rnacentral:hammerhead_ribozyme from 1 species
AUCCAGAUGAACAGUCCCAAAUUGGACGAAACACUCGUCAAGCUGGAU